GAACGCUGGCGGCGUGCUUAACACAUGCAAGUCGAACGAUGAACCUCCUUCGGGAGGGGAUUAGUGGCGAACGGGUGAGUAACACGUGGGCAAUCUGCCCUUCACUCUGGGACAAGCCCUGGAAACGGGGUCUAAUACCGGAUACGACCUCCGACCGCAUGGUCUGGUGGUGGAAAGCUCCGGCGGUGAAGGAUGAGCCCGCGGCCUAUCAGCUUGUUGGUGGGGUGAUGGCCUACCAAGGCGACGACGGGUAGCCGGCCUGAGAGGGCGACCGGCCACACUGGGACUGAGACACGGCCCAGACUCCUACGGGAGGCAGCAGUGGGGAAUAUUGCACAAUGGGCGAAAGCCUGAUGCAGCGACGCCGCGUGAGGGAUGACGGCCUUCGGGUUGUAAACCUCUUUCAGCAGGGAAGAAGCGAGAGUGACGGUACCUGCAGAAGAAGCGCCGGCUAACUACGUGCCAGCAGCCGCGGUAAUACGUAGGGCGCAAGCGUUGUCCGGAAUUAUUGGGCGUAAAGAGCUCGUAGG
rnacentral:rRNA from 1 species